UACGUAGGGGGCAAGCGUUGUCCGGAAUCAUUGGGCGUAAAGCGCGUGUAGGCGGUCCGGUAAGUCCGCUGUGAAAGUCGGGGGCUCAACCCUCGGAUGCCGGUGGAUACUGUCGAGCUAGAGUCCGGAAGAGGCGAGUGGAAUUCCUGGUGUAGCGGUGAAAUGCGCAGAUAUCAGGAGGAACACCAAUGGCGAAGGCAGCUCGCUGGGACGGUACUGACGCUGAGACGCGAAAGCGUGGGGAGCAAACAGG
rnacentral:rRNA from 1 species